UUCUCGAUUCGGUGGGUGGUGGUUCAUGGCCAUUCUUAGUUGGUGGAGCGAUUUGUCUGGUUAAUUCCAAUAACGAACGAGACUCUGGCAAGAUUGGUAAGGUAAUAUUAUCACGUUUUUAUUAGUUGGAUGUUAAGUUAACUUUAUGCAUAGGUAGCUGAAUUAACAUAUCUCUGGUUUCUUUCAGCUGUUGGGUUGUAGAGAGGGAUACCAUCUCUUUGGAUGUGGGUCCCAGAUUUUUUAUAUCUUUAGAG
rnacentral:ncRNA from 1 species